rnacentral:pre_miRNA from 1 species
AAAGUACCCCUCCGUCCCAAAAUUCUUGUCUUAGAUUUUUCUAGAUACGGAUGUAUCAAGUCACAUUUUAGUAUUAGAUACAUCCGUAUCUAGACAAAUCUAAGACAAGAAAUUUGGGACAGAGGGAGUAGUUG